rnacentral:rRNA from 1 species
AGAGCGAACGCUGGCGGCAGGCCUAACACAUGCAAGUCGAACGGAUCCUUCGGGAUUAGUGGCGGACGGGUGAGUAACACGUGGGAACGUGCCUUUUGGUUCGGAACAACUCAGGGAGACUUGAGCUAAUACCGGAUGUGCCCUUCGGGGGAAAGAUUUAUCGCCAUUAGAGCGGCCCGCGUCUGAUUAGCUUGUUGGUGAGGUAAAGGCUCACCAAGGCGACGAUCAGUAGCUGGUCUGAGAGGAUGAUCAGCCACAUUGGGACUGAGACACGGCCCAAACUCCUACGGGAGGCAGCAGUGGGGAAUCUUGCGCAAUGGGCGAAAGCCUGACGCAGCCAUGCCGCGUGAAUGAUGAAGGUCUUAGGAUUGUAAAAUUCUUUCACCGGGGACGAUAAUGACGGUACCGGAGAAGAAGCCCGCUAACUCGUGCCAGCAGCCGC